GAGGGUUUGAUCCUGGCUCAGGAUGAACGCUGGCGGCGUGCCUAAUACAUGCAAGUCGAGCGAACGGACGAGAAGCUUGCUUCUCUGAUGUUAGCGGCGGACGGGUGAGUAACACGUGGAUAACCUACCUAUAUGACUGGGAUAACUUCGGGAAACCGGAGCUAAUACCGGAUAAUAUUUUGAACCGCAUGGUUCAAAAGUGAAAGACGGUCUUGCUGUCACUUAUAGAUGGAUCCGCGCUGCAUUAGCUAGUUGGUAAGGUAACGGCUUACCAAGGCAACGAUGCAUAGCCGACCUGAGAGGGUGAUCGGCCACACUGGAACUGAGACACGGUCCAGACUCCUACGGGAGGCAGCAGUAGGGAAUCUUCCGCAAUGGGCGAAAGCCUGACGGAGCAACGCCGCGUGAGUGAUGAAGGUCUUCGGAUCGUAAAACUCUGUUAUUAGGGAAGAACAUAUGUGUAAGUAACUGUGCACAUCUUGACGGUACCUAAUCAGAAAGCCACGGCUAACUACGUGCCAGCAGCCGCGGUAAUACGUAGGUGGCAAGCGUUAUCCGGAAUUAUUGGGCGUAAAGCGCGCGUAGGCGGUUUUUUAAGUCUGAUGUGAAAGCCCACGGCUCAACCGUGGAGGGUCAUUGGAAACUGGAAAACUUGAGUGCAGAAGAGGAAAGUGGAAUUCCAUGUGUAGCGGUGAAAUGCGCAGAGAUAUGGAGGAACACCAGUGGCGAAGGCGACUUUCUGGUCUGUAACUGACGCUGAUGUGCGAAAGCGUGGGGAUCAAACAGGAUUAGAUACCCUGGUAGUCCACGCCGUAAACGAUGAGUGCUAAGUGUUAGGGGGUUUCCGCCCCUUAGUGCUGCAGCUAACGCAUUAAGCACUCCGCCUGGG
rnacentral:rRNA from 1 species